rnacentral:tRNA from 1 species
GGGGAUUUAGUUCAGUGGUAGAGCGCUUGCCUAGCAAGCGCAAGGCUCUGGGUUCGGUCCCCAGCCCCA